UUCCACCUUCCUAACCAACAGCCAAUCAAGCAGCUAAUAUUUAGUAAGUGCUUACUAUGUGCAAGACAUCAUGCCACACUAGACACCAGAGGGGUUACAAAGGUUACAAUCUAAUUAAGGAGAUUAAAUGCUGACACAGGAAGACAUUAGGAAAUAACACAGUAUGCUUGGUUCCUGAUGAGUGCUCAGAAAAGGCUUCCCAGAGCAGGGAGGGAUGGCGCUGAGUCUUUGUUUUUUAAGACAGUCUCAUUCUGUCGCCCAGGUCAAAUAACAAACAAACAUAGUAGAGACAAGGUCUUGCUAUCUUGCCUAGACUGGCCUCAAACUCCUGGGCUUAAGUGAUCCUCCCACCUAGGCCUCCCAAAGUGCUGGGAUUACAGGUGUGAGCUGCCACGCCCAGC
rnacentral:lncRNA from 10 species